rnacentral:rRNA from 1 species
AUUGAACGCUGGCGGCAUGCCUUACACAUGCAAGUCGAACGGCAGCAUGAUCUAGCUUGCUAGAUUGAUGGCGAGUGGCGAACGGGUGAGUAAUACAUCGGAACGUGCCCUGUAGUGGGGGAUAACUAGUCGAAAGAUUAGCUAAUACCGCAUACGACCUGAGGGUGAAAGUGGGGGACCGCAAGGCCUCAUGCUAUAGGAGCGGCCGAUGUCUGAUUAGCUAGUUGGUGAGGUAAAGGCUCACCAAGGCGACGAUCAGUAGCUGGUCUGAGAGGACGAUCAGCCACACUGGGACUGAGACACGGCCCAGACUCCUACGGGGGGCAGCAGUGGGGAAUUUUGGACAAUGGGCGAAAGCCUGAUCUAGCAAUGCCGCGUGUGUGAAGAAGGCCUUCGGGUUGUAAAGCACUUUUGUCCGGAAAGAAAUGGCUCUGGUUAAUACCUGGGGUCGAUGACGGUACCGGAAGAAUAAGGACCGGCUAACUACGUG